CGGUAAUACGGAGGAUGCAAGCGUUAUCCGGAUUCAUUGGGUUUAAAGGGUGCGCAGGCGGAAUAAUAAGUCAGCGGUGAAAGCCUACAGCUUAACUGUAGAACUGCCAUUGAUACUGUUAUUCUUGAGUGUUGUUGAGGUAGGCGGAAUGUGUCAUGUAGCGGUGAAAUGCUUAGAUAUGACACAGAACACCGAUCGCGAAGGCAGCUUACCAAGCAACAACUGACGCUCAUGCACGAAAGCGUGGGGAUCAAACAGGAUUAGAUACCCUGGUAGUCCACGCCGUAAACGAUGAUCACUCGAUGUUGGCGAUACACAGUCAGCGUCUUAGCGAAAGUAUUAAGUGAUCCACCUGGGGAGUACGGUCGCAAGAUUGAAACUCAAAGGAAUUGACGGGGGCCCGCACAAGCGGAGGAGCAUGUGGUUUAAUUCGAUGAUACGCGAGGAACCUUACCUGGGCUCGAACGUGGAAUGACAGUCGCGGAAACGUGAUCUUCUUCGGACAUUCUACGAGGUGCUGCAUGGUUGUCGUCAGCUCGUGCCGUGAGGUGUCGGGUUAAGUCCCAUAACGAGCGCAACCCCUAUCUUUAGUUGCCAUCAGGUAAUGCUGGGGACUCUAAAGAAACUGCCUACGCAAGUAGUGAGGAAGGCGGGGAUGACGUCAAAUCAGCACGGCCCUUACGUCCAGGGCUACACACGUGCUACAAUGGCCGGUACAGAGGGCAGCUACCUGGUGACAGGAUGCAAAUCUCCAAAGCCGGUCUCAGUUCGGAUCGAAGUCUGAAACUCGACUUCGUGAAGUUGGAUUCGCUAGUAAUCGCGCAUCAGCCAUGGCGCGGUGAAUACGUUCCCGGGCCUUGUACACACCGCCCGUCAAGCCAUGGAAGCUUGGGGUACCUGAAGUCCGUGAGCGCAAGCAGCGGCCUAGGGUAAAACAGGUAACUAGGGCUAAGUCGUAACAAGGUAGCCGUACCGGAAGGUGCGGCUG
rnacentral:rRNA from 1 species